GGCGAUUAAUGCCUUAUUUAGAAAAAACAAUUCUUCCUCCCUGACCCCACCACCCUCGCCCAGAAAAAUACGUGCAUUUUCUCUUCUUUAAGGUCCACGCUGCUUUUAUGAGCUGUAACACUCACUGCGAAGAUCUGCAGCUUCACUCCUGAGCCCAGCGAGACCAUGAGCCCACCGGGAGGAAGGAACAACUCCAGACAUGCUGCCUUAAGAGCUGUAACACUCACUGCGAAGGUCUGCAGCUUCACUCCUGAGCCAGUGAGACCACGAACCCGCCACAAGGAAGAAACUCUGAACACAUCAUCUGAACAUCAGAAGGAACAAACUCCAGACGCGCCACCUUAACAGCUGUAACACUCACCGCGAGGGUCCGCGGCUUCAUUCUUGAAGUCAGUGAGACCAAGAACCCACCAAUUCCGGACACACCAGGACCUUCCGCUGCUCGCUCCUCCUCGUCCCUUCUACCCGCUGGGGUCAGCCUCAUCGACCCCGUCUCAACUCUGACACAGUCUCUCUCUCUCUCUCUCUCUCUAUAUAUAUAUAUAUAUAUUUUUUUUUUAGAUGGAGUCUCGCUUUGCUCCCCAGGCUGGAGUGCAGUGGUGCAAUCUCUGCUCACUGCAAGCUCCACCUCCUGGUUUCACGCCAUUCUCCUGCCUCAGCGUCCCAAGUAGCUGGGACUACAGGCGCCCGCCACCACACCCUGCUAAUUUUUUGUAUUUUUAGUAGAGACGGGGUUUCACCGUGUUAGCCAGGAUGGUCUCAACCUCCUGACCUUGUGAUCCGCCCGCCUGGGCCUCCCAAAGUGCUGGGAUUACAGGCAUGAGUCACUGUGCCCGGCCAGGGCAGAUAUUCUUGUAGAAUUUUGUUUCUUGCUUUAUCCCUGGUGCCUAAAACAAUUUGUGGUAUACAGUAAGUACUCAAUAAACAUUUUUUGAAUGAAUGACUGAAUAAAUGGAUAAAUAAUUCCAGUCUCCUCAUAUCUCAGGUCUCAGAUAAAAUGCCUUCCUCAGAAAUGCCUUUCCUAAUCCUCCUAUCUAAAACAGCCCUUCUCAUCCUAGUUGUGCUUUAUAAUAUCAUUAUGUUUUACUUUUCUCAUAUUACUUGUCAUUAUCUGAAAUUAUUCUAUUUAUUUACUUGCUUAUUGUCUUCCUCCUCCCUCCUCCAUUAGAAUGUAGGCUCCUUGAGACCUGGGCCCUUGACACAAUAAUUGUUAAAUGAGUGAAUGUACAAAACACUGUGUUGAAAGCCUCAGAUGAAUUAUCUCACCCACUUCUCAUAGCAACCCCAAUUAAAUAGUACCAUAGAAUUCCCUUAUCUCAAAUGAGAAAACAGAGCUUUAAAGAGCUUACAUAGCUAGAAAGUGGCAGAGCCCAGAUUUGAACACAGGCAUUUUGAUUCCAGGACUCAUUCUGAGUUAGUUUACGUAACUGAAGACUUCUGAGAGCCUUGUAUAUCUACAAUCUGCAAGAGAAGGAAAGCAUCUACAACGCUGCCCAAAUUUACC
rnacentral:lncRNA from 1 species